rnacentral:rRNA from 1 species
AUUGAACGCUGGCGGCAGGCCUAACACAUGCAAGUCGAGCGAGCGGCGGACGGGUGAGUAAUGUAUGGGGACUGCCCGAUAGAGGGGGAUAACUACUGGAAACGGUGGCUAAAACGCAAUACUAUCGAAUAACCCAUAUGGGAUUAUCUGGGGUGUGGGGUAAAGGCUCACCUAGGCGACGAUCUCUAGCUGGUCUGAGAGGAUGAUCAGCCACACUGUGACUGGGACACGGCCCAGACUCCAACGGAGGCAGCAGUGGGGAAUAUUGCACAAUGGGCGCAAGCCUGAUGCAGCCAUGCCGCGUGUAUGAAGAAGGCCUUAGGGUUGUAAAGUACUUUCAGCGGGGAGGCGUUACCCGCAGAAGAAGCACCGGCUAACUCCGUGCCAGCAGCCGCGGUAAUUC